CCCGGUGAAGUUUUAACGGCCGCAGUUAGGAGCUGUGCUAAGGUAGCGUAGUAAGUUGUCCUUUAAAUGGGGAAAGGAAUGAAUGGUUUGACGUGAGGAAAGCUGUCUCAGGUGGAUAGGGUGAAAUUUUCUUCCCAGUGAAAAGCCUGGGAUUAACUUAAAAGACGAGAAGACCCUGUCGAGCUUGAUUAAAGCUUUAAGAUUUUUAAGUUGAAAGUUUGGUUGGGGCAACCUAGGAGCAAGGAAAGACUCCUUUAGAUUAUGGGGAUCCAAAAUUUUUGAAAAGAGAAAAAGCUACCGCAGGGAUAACAGCGUUAUCUUUCCUGAGAGAACAUAUUGAAGGGAAG
rnacentral:rRNA from 1 species